CAAGGGAAGGUGCACAGGGAGUAGGGGACAGCAGGUCUCGCCAUGGCCAGCACGGUGACUCCUCCCCAGUGACCUUUGACCUCACAAUGCCUCUGUCUCCAGCCCUGCGACGCAGCUGGAUUGUGAGAUGGAAGGAUACAGAGCGGCCAGCCUGUCCUGCCCUGUGAGCUGGGUGAGCCGGCACCGGUGAGAAUGGACGUGAAUGGCAGCAGUCACUGGUCAGCAGACUCUUGGGGAAAGUCUGCUGUUUGACAUCUUAUCAGUAAGAACAGAUCGUCUCUUGCCUGGAGGAUCUACGUCAUUUUGACAAAGAGAAGCUGCUUCAAUUUCCAACCCAGCGGAACCCCAGUGCCAGAGGGGAGGCGGCAAGCCGGACAGGAGGCGCUCGAGUGGUCUUCCCGGAAGUGCGCGUCCCCCCAGAUUUCCCCAGCACCCCGACGCGGGGCUGCGAACCCACCUGCGCUAGUGCGGCUGCGGCCAUGAUCCGUGCGACGGGACUGUCGCCGAGCGCUGGCGAGGAUAAGCGGCCCGAGGUAAGAAAGGGGAAAGGCGAGCAGCACGAAGCUCCGUUUAUCACGAUGCCUUUGUGAAAAGGAAGAGCACACUAUGAAUGUCAGCGGCGCAGACGUCACGGAAAUGCGCAGGAAAAGGAUGGGACUUUGGGAAAGGGCUUCUGAAUUGGAUAGUAGGUAGGGACGAAGGGGAACUUCGCUUUGCAGCCUGGAUACUCCUCAACCCUCCGGUCAUCAGUGAGCCUCAGAGCAGGGUUUCCCGGUCACUCCCCUGCAUGUGUGUCUCCUUCAGGAUCUCUCUGACCUCAGCAAUUCAGACCUGCGGCAGUGUCCCCUGUAUUGUGCUGCCCGGUCACUGUGUCCCCCAAACUCCUGCAUCCGGGUUCUUUUGACACCAAAAUCCGGUCCCUCGACCACCGUGCCUCCGUAAUUCUACCCUGGCACACGCUGUCUCCAAAUUGUAUCCCCAACAUGUCCCCAAAUCGUGUCCCCGGCUCACCGUGCCCCUCACCCCUAACAGCCACAGGCCCGAGCACCCAAAUCUCGAACCCUCCCCCUCAGGGUGUGGCCCGGGUUUUCCUCUCCCCUCCUCAGUCCUCCUCCCCCGCCACUUGCCCGGGAUGUAGGGGCGGUGCCCAGACCUCCCGCCGCGGCCAAUCAGCGAUUGCCGCACACGCCCCCCGCCGCAGCCAAUCCGCAGCAGCUUUGCAGCCCCGCCCUCACCUGGGGGUGCGUAACCAGGACUCGGCCCAGCGCCCCACCAGGGGGAAUACAGGAUCUGCUCCUCCUUAGGCGCGGAGUCCCCAGUGCCCUCCUCCCCCAAACCCAGGAGUCUCGGCCCCGGUCUUCUCCCUCUGACCCAGAUGUCUCGGCCCCCAGCUUCCUCUUCCCUCUGGAAUUUGUGGCAGCUACCUUCCGGCUCCACAGGCAAGGUCAAAACUCCGUUUCCCUAAGGGCCACGAAUAAAGGGGAGGCCCUUUCGCUUCUUCUCCAUUGUCUCCUAAUUAGCGGUUAAUUUACUCUCCCCUGCGGGCCUUUUAAUUAGCGCACAGGUGAAGCCAAACUUCUCUACAUUUCCCAGGAUCCCCUGGCGACAGGCGACAGGCACUAGCAACAUCAGGUACCUGCUUGGCCUGUAGGGGAGCUGUGGUGCCUCAAGGAGGCAACAGGUGAUGGGGCCGUCGCCGAAGGACUCGUACAAAGGGCGGGAAAUAAAUAUAACGAUGUUCUUAGGG